GGAAGGAAGGAAGGAAGGAAGGAAGGAAGGAAGGAAGGAAGGAAGGAAGGAAGGAAGGAAGGAAGGAAGGAAGGAAGGAAGGAAGGAAGGAAGGAAAACCCUCCUAACGAGGAAUAAAACCCAUUUUAGUCUCAUGCCCAUUGGCGUUUAGAGCUCCACUGACUUUACCAGUUGCAGCAUCUCCAGGCAGGAAGUGUAACAAACACUGGACUUUAAUUUUGACAAAUUCUGCAAAUUAUGGUUUACACACCACUCCACGGAGCCAGUGCAAUUCAGAGACUGCAGCAUAUCCUAACUGCUUCUUCAUUUUGCAGAGUGUGAUUCAAUUCCAGUUGACAAGGAUCAUCACAAAAGUGAGAGGUUAUUUCAGUUUCCACAACCCAUUCAUCACUUGGCCUGCCAGCAUCAAAGCCAAGAAGUGUGCCAAUUAUUGUGAUAUACUUCUAUUAAUUUCAGGAUUUACUGCAAAAAUUGCUGGUCUGGAUACUCUGGAAGUACUGGGACUUGAGCAUGUAAUAAAACUGAGCAUUGAAUUAAACUAAAUGGAUCUUAAUGAUGCAUAUGAAAAAGUGCAUAACUUUGGAUAUAAACAUCUGGCUGAUGACCGGUGAGGGAUUGGCCAGUGUUCAUUUGUAACACUGCUCACUAUCAGAUAAGAUCCAAACAACCCAUUUCAUCAUGAACCAGUGCCACUGACAGACAUUCUUCUGCAGUUCUGUUCAGAGCAGUUUGUCCUGGAUGCAAUUUGAACUCUGCAGCCAGCAUCACUAUGGCACUGUUGGUGACCUCAAUGGAUAAUGUGGUGUUAUCCUCAAAUUGCUAUUCAGGCAAAAACUUUCACAUUGUUUACCCAUUACUUCUCGGAGGGAAUCUUAAAUAAUCUUUUCAUUUGAUGCAGUUUUCCUAAUUUCAUUUCAAAUCAUAUAACAGGUUUUUGCUUGGAGGAGAUGAUUUCCAUAAUUUUAGCUAGAAGUUAAAAUAUGCGUGGAACAAGGACAGAAACUAAUCCUCAAAAAUACCUAUUGAGCUUUUAGCCCACGAUAUUUUUUAAAUCACAGUUGCUCAUAUUUCAUGGGGUUUUUUCUUCUUUUCUUUUUUCUUAUUUUCUUCAUUUGUAAAAUUAAUUUGGUCUCAUGUCAUAAGCCCAUUUUGAUGCUACCUUUAGUUAUUCUCAAAUUAUUUUUUCCAUGUGAAAUAGCUUAUUCCCACUGAAGACAUUUACAGUCCCACUGUUUUUAAUGUAAGCAGGUUUUGACCCAUUGAAUACAAAAGGCUUUAAACAGUCCAUUUUAAAAGACAUUUUUUUCUUUUGCUAUGAACCCCUGAGGUACUAUGCCAAGGUUAGGAAGCUGUGCGUAGUUAUUUUUGUGCUUUAUAAAAUCUUUAAUAUUUUCAGUGCAUAAAUCAUUUUUAGCUUUACCUAAUUUUGGAGCAUAAAGGGCACGUCAAACUUUACUAAA